GAUGAACGCUGGCGGCGUGCCUAAUACAUGCAAGUCGAGCGAACGGACGAGAAGCUUGCUUCUCUGAUGUUAGCGGCGGACGGGUGAGUAACACGUGGAUAACCUACCUAUAAGACUGGGAUAACUUCGGGAAACCGGAGCUAAUACCGGAUAAUAUUUUGAACCGCAUGGUUCAAAAGUGAAAGACGGUCUUGCUGUCACUUAUAGAUGGAUCCGCGCUGCAUUAGCUAGUUGGUAAGGUAACGGCUUACCAAGGCAACGAUGCAUAGCCGACCUGAGAGGGUGAUCGGUCACACUGGAACUGAGACACGGUCCAGACUCCUACGGGAGGCAGCAGUAGGGAAUCUUCCGCAAUGGGCGAAGGCCUGACGGAGCAACGCCGCGUGAGUGAUGAAGGUCUUCGGAUCGUAAAACUCUGUUAUUAGGGAAGAACAUAUGUGUAAGUAACUGUGCACAUCUUGACGGUACCUAAUCAGAAAGCCACGGCUAACUACGUG
rnacentral:rRNA from 1 species